rnacentral:rRNA from 1 species
GACGAACGCUGGCGGCGUGCUUAACACAUGCAAGUCGAACGGAAAGGCCCUGCUUUUGUGGGGUGCUCGAGUGGCGAACGGGUGAGUAACACGUGAGUAACCUGCCCUUGACUUUGGGAUAACUUCAGGAAACUGGGGCUAAUACCGGAUAGGGGCUCCUGCUGCAUGGUGGGGGUUGGAAAGUUUCGGCGGUUGGGGAUGGACUCGCGGCUUAUCAGCUUGUUGGUGGGGUAGUGGCUUACCAAGGCUUUGACGGGUAGCCGGCCUGAGAGGGUGACCGGCCACAUUGGGACUGAGAUACGGCCCAGACUCCUACGGGAGGCAGCAGUGGGGAAUAUUGCACAAUGGGCGGAAGCCUGAUGCAGCAACGCCGCGUGCGGGAUGACGGCCUUCGGGUUGUAAACCGCUUUCGCCUGUGACGAAGCGUGAGUGACGGUAAUGGGUAAAGAAGCACCGGCUAACUACGUGCCAGCAGCCGCGGUGAUACGUAGGGUGCGAGCGUUGUCCGGAUUUAUUGGGCGUAAAGGGCUCGUAGGUGGUUGAUCGCGUCGGAAGUGUAAUCUUGGGGCUUAACCCUGAGCGUGCUUUCGAUACGGGUUGACUUGAGGAAGGUAGGGGAGAAUGGAAUUCCUGGUGGAGCGGUGGAAUGCGCAGAUAUCAGGAGGAACACCAGUGGCGAAGGCGGUUCUCUGGGCCUUUCCUGACGCUGAGGAGCGAAAGCGUGGGGAGCGAACAGGCUUAGAUACCCUGGUAGUCCACGCUGUAAACGGUGGGUACUAGGUGUGGGGUCCAUUCCACGGGUUCCGUGCCGUAGCUAACGCUUUAAGUACCCCGCCUGGGGAGUACGGCCGCAAGGCUAAAACUCAAAGGAAUUGACGGAGCCCCGCACAAGCGGCGGAGCAUGCGGAUUAAUUCGAUGCAACGCGUAGAACCUUACCUGGGUUUGACAUGGAUCGGGAGUGCUCAGAGAUGGGUGUGCCUCUUUUGGGGUCGGUUCACAGGUGGUGCAUGGCUGUCGUCAGCUCGUGUCGUGAGAUGUUGGGUUAAGUCCCGCAACGAGCGCAACCCUUGUUCACUGUUGCCAGCACGUUAUGGUGGGGACUCAGUGGAGACCGCCGGGGUCAACUCGGAGGAAGGUGGGGAUGACGUCAAGUCAUCAUGCCCCUUAUGUCCAGGGCUUCACGCAUGCUACAAUGGCUGGUACAGAGAGUGGCGAGCCUGUGAGGGUGAGCGAAUCUCGGAAAGCCGGUCUCAGUUCGGAUUGGGGUCUGCAACUCGACCUCAUGAAGUCGGAGUCGCUAGUAAUCGCAGAUCAGCAACGCUGCGGUGAAUACGUUCCCGGG